rnacentral:rRNA from 1 species
UACGAAGGGUGCAAGCGUUACUCGGAAUUACUGGGCGUAAAGCGUGCGUAGGUGGUUCGUUAAGUCUGAUGUGAAAGCCCUGGGCUCAACCUGGGAAUGGCAUUGGAAACUGGCGACCUAGAGUGCGGUAGAGGGUAGUGGAAUUCCCGGUGUAGCAGUGAAAUGCGUAGAGAUCGGGAGGAACACCGGUGGCGAAGGCGGCUAUCUGGACAGAGUCUGACGCUGAGGCGCGAAAGCUAGGGGAGCAAACAGG